CCUAGUUGAUUCUGCCAGUAGUUAUAUACUUAUCUUAAAAAUUAAGCUAUAUAUAUCUAAAUAUAAGUAAUUAUAUAGCGAAACUAUAAAUAGCUUAUUAUAUAAAUUAUUAUUUAUUUAAUAGUAUCUUACUACUUAGAUAACUAUAGUAAUUCUAAAGCUAAUAUAUACUAAAAAUCCUAACUUUAGAAGGAAUAUAUUUAUUAGAUUAAAAACUAAUAUUCUUUAGGAUUUACUAGUGAUUUAUAAUAACUUCUUGAAUUGUAUAGUUUUAUACUAGCGAUAGUUUAUUCAAAUUUCUUCCCUAUUAACUUUCAAUACUAGAGUAAUAUUCUAAUAUAGUUAUAAUGGGUAAUAGAGGGUUAGAGCUUAACCCCAGAGAAGGAGCCUGAGAAAUAGCUACUAUAUCUAAGGAAGGCAGCAGGUAUGUAAAUUACCCAAUCCCGACACAAAGAAAUAGUGACAAUAAAUACUAAUAUAGAGCUCUUUUAGGUCUUAUAAUUAGAAUAAGUAUAAUUUAAAUCCCUUAAUAAGGAAUAAUUAGAGGGUAAAUCUAAUACCAGCAGCUACAGUAAUUCCAGCUCUAAUAGUAUAUAUUAAAGUUAUUAUAGUUAAAAAGCUUAUAAUAGAACCUUAGGCUUAACUAGCCAGUCCGCCUCACUGCAUACAUUAGUCUAGCUAGACCUUUCCCUCUGUGGAACUGUAUACUCUUUACUAAGUAUACUAGAGAAAUAGAACUUUUACUUUAAAAAAAUUAGAAUACUCCAGGCAGGCCUAUACUUAAAUAUAUUAGUAUAGAAUAAUAAAAUAGGAUAUAUAAUUCUAUUUUAUUAGUUUCUAGGACCGCUAUAAUAAUUAAUAGGGACAGUCAGGAGCAUCAGUAUUCAAUUAUCAGAAGUGAAAUUCUUAGAUUUAUUAAAAACUAACUAUUAUGAAAGUAUUUACUAAAGAUAUUUUUAUUUAUCAGGAAUAAAAGUUAGGAGAUUAAAGACGAUCAGAUACUAUUAUAAUCUUAACUAUAAACUAUACCAACUAGAGAUCAGACGAUAUUAUUUUUUAACUCAUUUAGCACCUUACAAGAAAUUAAAAUACUUAAGCUCUAGGGGGAGUAUAGUCGUAAGGCUGAAACUUAAAGAAAUUGAUAGAAAGGCAUCACUAGGGGUAAACAGUAACCAUUCAAGCUCUGCCCCAGACAGCAAGCCUGUAAAGGAUCUAGUAGCCAGCCCCGAAUCGCUAGUCACCCCAGCAGUAGCAACAUCCUCCAAUUACGGGAAACCCUCAGAGGGUAGCACUCCCAAGCAGCGCUCGAAAGAGACGCUAUAGCAGUAGCGUAACGGCUGCCAGUACAGAGAUAACAUGCUACUCAUGAGGCAACUUGCAGCCAAGCUCCUAACCAUAGGGAAGGUUCAGAAACUUAAUAGGGAUAAGUAACACCCCCAGGCGCCACCUAAGAUAGAGUCUAUACCCACUCGAGAGAGUAGAAACUAACUAAUAUAUUACCUAAAAAGGAAGCCUGCAGCUUAAUUUAACUUAACAUAGGGAAACUUACUAAAUUCAGAUAUAAUAAAGAUUAACAGAUUGAAAGCUCUUUCUUAAUUUUAUAGGUAGUAGUGUAUAGUUAUUCUUAGUUAGUAGAGUAAUUUGUCUGCUUAAUUAUAAUAACGAAUAAGAUCUUAACCUGCUAAAUAGCCUAUAUUACUUUAGUAGUAUACUAACUUCUUAGAGAGACUAUUAGCUUAAGCUGAUAGAAGUUUAAAGUAAUAAUAGGUUAACCUUCACAGGCUUAUAAUAGU
rnacentral:rRNA from 1 species